ensembl:lncRNA
CUCGGAGACGACCACAGACAACUGUUCAGUGAUUGAGUGGAGCUGCCUCAGUUUGAACUGCACACAGGUCUCCACAGCCACAGAGCGCCUGGAUCCAAACUCUGACGCCUUCUGUCAAACCAGAACAACCUCUGUGAUCCAGGUCUCCACAGACGCACCGUUUCAGAUGAGACUGGACGGUGGCUCUCAGCUUUGGGUCGACAAUAAUGAAAGUGUGAAGUCGGUCAGAGCCUUGUCAGUGGUGGACCUGAGGACUCGCUCUGACACUGGACAGAUGAACCGCCCCCCACAGGCCGCCAUCAUGUCCCCCAUACGAAUUCCUUCAAACUGUGCCAGACAAAUGCCUCUGCUGGCCUUCGAUCCUGACAGUGACCAGGUUUUGUGCCGAUUUGCCCGUGACGCUCCGUACGAGUGUGAUCCCUGUGCACCUUCAUCACUCGCUCCCUCGCUGACUCUCGCACCUGUAAGCAGCUUUCAAACUAACUAACCCUUCACAGUAUAUACUUAU